GUGUAGAGUACAGUUGCGAUUUACGUGGUCCUCACCGAGAUAGCUAAACUCAGAGCUUUAUUUCGCAUCUCAUAGAUCUAUAUAGAAGCAAACCUCACUACCUGACGCUUUGGUGUUAUUAUCAGAGUGCGAAAAUAGAGAGAUUAAUGGAGAACGGAGGAGAAACCAAAGAAUGGAGGUUCAAAGGGAACCAAACUCUAACUACAGCAUCUGGCUUUACUGUAAGAGGUGUUCUGAAUAUGUUAAUGGAGAAUCUCAACCCUGAUGAUCAACGCCAAGUUCUUCGGCUCGGCCACGGCGAUCCGUCCAGUUUUCCUUGCUUCUACACUUCUCCUGCAGCCGAGGACGCUAUCGUCGACGCUCUCCGUUCCCGUCAGUUUAACUGUUAUAGCUCCACCGUCGGUAUUCUUCCCGCUCGCAAGGCUGUAGCAGAAUAUCUCUCUCGUCAUCUUCCAUAUACGUUAACUCCUGAUGAUGUAUUCCUCACAAUUGGUUGCACGCAUGCAAUCGAAGUAGCACUUUCAGUCCUAACUUAUCCAGGAGCAAAUAUAUUGUUACCUUGCCCGGGUUUCCCGUACUAUGAGGCAUUCUCUGCGUACAUUGGACUUCAACAUCGUCAUUUUAGUCUUCUCCCAGAAAAGGGGUGGGAAGUUGAUCUUGAUGCAGUUGAGGCUCUAGCUGAUGAGAAUACUGUGGCCAUGGUUCUUAUAAACCCUGGAAACCCAUGUGGGAAUGUUUUUACUUAUAAGCAUUUGCAAAAGGUGGCAGAAACUGCAAAAAAGCUUGGGAUUCUUGUGAUUGCUGAUGAAGUUUAUGAACACCUUACAUUUGGAAAGAAUCCAUUUGUUCCAAUGGGUGCUUUUGGAAAUAUUACUCCCAUUAUUACACUUGGUUCUAUAUCAAAGCGAUGGAUAGUUCCUGGGUGGCGUCUUGGUUGGCUUGUCACAACUGACAAUCAAGGCAUCUUACAAAAAUCGGGGCUUGUGGAGAGCAUUAAGAGCUUCCUCAACAUCUCUUCUGAUCCUGCAACCUUCAUUCAGGGUGCACUUCCUCAAAUCAUCGAGAAAACGAAUGAGGAUUUCUUUUCGAAAAUCAUAAAUACACUAUGCCUAGAUGCAAACCUUUGUUACGAGAAAUUGAAGGAGAUUCCAUGUAUUACAUGUCCAAGUAAGCCAGAAGGUUCCAUGUUUGUAAUGGCAAAGCUCGAUUUGUCUCUGUUAAGUGAUAUACAAGAUGAUCUUGAUUUUUGCUUAAAACUUGCGAAAGAGGAGAAUAUGGCCAUUUUACCAGUGAUAACCAAUCAGAGUCAAAUUGGAUUGAGACAACAAUCUAUGAUGUCUAGGAUGAGUGUUGCUACAACCCAUGUGACUGAGAAAGUAGCCCAUGUGAUUUCGACUGGUGAAGUGGUAGUGAAACAUAGACCUCAAUUCCUCAACAUGAAAUAGAAACUGAGGUUCAUCACAAAUAAAUGGUCAGAGGUGGCAAGAAGAUGACUACUAAAGGUGUGGCUGUAGGCAUGAAAAAUUGGUUGCGCAUUACGUUUGCGUUGGAACCGUUGGCUCUUGAAGAAGGGCUUGAAAGAUUGAAAGCAUUUUGCCAAAGGCAUGCAGAACAAGCAUAAUAUUAGAGUAUUAUU